GGUUAAUGUUCAUUUCCUUCCAGGUUAAUGUUCAUUUCCUUCCAGGUUAAUGUUCAUUUCCUUCCAGGUUAAUGUUCAUUUCCUUUCAGGUUAAUGUUCAUUUCCUUCCAGGUUAAUGUUCAUUUCCUUUCAGGUUAAUGUUCAUUUCCUUCCAGGUUAUUGUUCAUUUCUUUUCAGAUUUAUGUUCAUUCCUUCCAGGUUAAUGUUCAUUUCCUUUCAGAUUAACAUGAACUUCCUUUCAGUUUAACAUUAAUUUCCUUUCAGGUUAACAUUAAUUUCAUUUUAGGUUAAUGUGUUGCUUUUUUGGUUAACCCUCUCGCGCACAAUGACGCGUUCCGCAUCAUCAAGGGUAAAAGGUCCUGGCGCACAAUGACGCGAAACACGUCAUAAAAGUUUUUAAAAUUGAUUUAAAAUUAAGUUUUCACUGAAAGUGCGUCACAUUAGGGAGCGUCAUUUGUUGGGAUAAGUUUCUUAAUGGUAACAUAUGGCAACCUUUCUAAGGAGCGUAGAUGCAUGAGGAGGAGGGAGGAGGAGCAAUGUGGGGAAGAGUUGGUUCUUAGGAUUUAUUGUCUACAAUACUCUAUACAGAGACUUGAAACGAGUUUGUAUUGUUUAUUUUACUCUAUUUUUAUUUGCGCAUGUUCUACUACAAGUCUUGAUGAAGCCAUUGAUACCAAAUUUAUUGGGGUACGAUAUAUCUGGGAGAGUAAAAUACGUCCGGGAAUGUAGAGUAUCGCAGUGGCAAAAAAAGGCCGGUCGGGCCUGAGAAAUGCAUGGUGAGUGGAACAGAAACUUAUGCGCACCGGGCCUGAGAAAUGCAUGGUGAGUGGAACAGAAACUUAUGCGCACCGGGCCUGAGAAAUGCAUGGUGAGUGGAACAGAAACUUAUUGGAAACUUACGGUGCGCAAGAGGGUUAAUUGGGAGAAAAGGCUAUUAAGUGGUCUAACAAUGAGUUUAAUUGGGAGAAAAAGGUUAUUAGGUGGUUUAAGAAUGUAUUUAAUUAGGAGAAAAAAGGUUAAGUGGUCUAAGAAUGAAUUUAAUUGGGAGAAAACGAGUAUUAGGUGGUCUAAGAAUGUAUUUAAUUGGGAGAAAAAAGGUUAUAAGUGGUCUAAGAAUGUAUUUAAUUGGGAGAAAAAAGGUUAAGUGGUCUAAGAAUGUAUUUAAUGGACCGUAUUGGCUAUACAGGCAGCGCCACACGUGGCCACUCGGUGAACUGUCAAAGCAGUACUUUCCAUAGAAUACAACUUAUGUACUAGAGUGCGUCUGAGGCUGCCUCCAGGAUACAGGGCCUUGGUGCCGCCACCGCUCCAAGCCAACGACUACACACACUUUACUCCUACCUGAUUUCCUAACUCUACUAUUUGACAUGGAGAAAAACUGAAAUCGGCUAGGAGUGAAGUGUGUGCAAUCAUCGGCUUGGGGCAAUGGUGGCACCAUGGCCAUGUAUCCCGGAGACAGCCUCAUACGCACCCUAGUCUAUAACUUGAACUCUAUGGAAAGGACAGCUUGGAGUUGAGUGGCCACAUGUGGCACUGCCUAUAUAGCCAAAACGGUCCAUUGGGAGAAAAAAGGUUAUUAAGUGUUCUAAGAAUGUAUUUAAUUGGGAGAAAAGAGGUUAAGUGGUCUAAGAAUGUAUUUAAUUGGGAGAAAAAAGGUUAUUAAGUGGUCUAAGAAUGUAUUUAAUUGGGAGAAAAGUUAUUAAAUGUUCUAAGAAUGUAUUUAAUUGGGAGAAAAGAGGUUAAGUGGUCUAAGAAUGUAUUUAACUGGGAGGAAAAAGGUUAUUAAAUGGUCUAAGAACAUAUUUAAUUGGGAGAAAAGGUAAUUAAGUGGUCUAAGAAUGUAUUUAAUUGGGAGAAAAGCUUAUUAAAUGGUCUAAGAAUGUAUUUAAUUGGAGAAAAGGUAAUUAAGUGGCUUAAGAAUGUAUUUAAUUGGGAGAAAAAGUAAUUAAGUGGCUUAAUGUAUUUAAUUGGGAGAAAAGGUAAUUAAGUGGUCUAAGAAUGUAUUUAAUUGGGAGAAAAGGUAAUUAAGUGGUUUAAGAAUGUAUUUAAUUGGGAGAAAAGGUAAUUAAGUGGUCUAAGAAUAUAUUUAAUUGGGAAAAAGUGUAAUGAAGUGGUCUUAGAAUGUAUUUAAUUGGGAGAAAAGGUGAUUAAGUGGCCUAAGAAUGUAUUUGAUUGGGGAAAAAUGUAAUUAAGUGGUCUGAGAAUGUAUUUAAUUGGGAGAAAAGGUAAUUAAGUGGUCUAAGAAUGUAUUUAAUUGGGAGAAAAGGUAAUGAAGUUGUCUAAGAAUGUAUUUAAUUGGGAGAAAAGGUAAUUAAGUGGUCUGAGAAUGUAUUUAAUUGGGAGAAAAGGUAAUUAAGUGGUCUGAGAAUGUAUUUAAUUGGGAGAAAAGGUAAUUAAGUGGUCUAAGAAUGUAUUUAAUUGGGAGAAAAGGUAAUUAAGUGGUCUGAGAAUGUAUUUAAUUGGGAGAAAAGGUAAUUAAGUGGUCUGAGAAUGUAUUUAAUUGGGAGAAAAGGUAAUUAAGUUGUCUAAGAAUGUAUUUAAUUGGGAGAAAAGGUAAUUAAGUGGUCUGAGAAUGUAUUUAAUUGGGAGAAAAGGUAAUUAAGUGGCCUAAGAAUGUAUUUAAUUGGGAGAAAAAAGGUUAUUAAAUGGUCUAAGAAUGUAUUUAAUUGGAGAAAAGGUAAUUAAGUGGCUUAAGAAUGUAUUUAAUUGGGAGAAAAGGUAAUUAAGCAGUCUAAGAAUAUAUUUAAUUGGGUAAAAGUGUAAUUAAGUGGUCUAAGAAUGUAUUUAAUUGGGAGAAAAGGUGAUUAAGUGGCCUAAGAAUGUAUUUGAUUUGGAGAAAAGGUAAUUAAGUGGUCUAAGAAUGUAUUUAAUUGGGAGAAAAAAGGUUAUUAAAUCGUCUAAGAAUGUAUUUAAUUGGAGAAAAGGUAAUUAAGUGGUUUAAGAAUGUAUUUAAUUGGGAGAAAAGGUAAUUAAGUGAUCUAAGAAUAUAUUUAAUUGGGAAAGUGUAAUUACGUGGUCUAAGAAUGUAUUUAAUUGGGAUAAAAAAGGUUAUUAAGUGAUCUAAGAAUGUAUUUAAUUGGGAGAAAGGGUAAUUAAGUUGUCUAAGAAUAUAUUUAAUUGAGAGGAAAGGUGAUUAAGUGGCCUAAGAAUGUAUUUAAUUGGGAGAAAAGGUAAUUAAGUGGCUUAAGAAUGUAUUUAAUUGGGAGAAAAGGUAAUUAAGUUGUCUAAGAAUAUUUAAUUGGGAGAAAAGGUAGUUAAGUGGCUUAAGAAUGUAUUUGAUUGGGAGAAAAGGUAAUUAAGUGGUCUAAGAAUAUAUUUAAUUGGGAAAAAGUGUGAUUAAGUGGUCUAAGAAUGUAUUUAUUUGGGAGAAAAGGUAAUUAAGUGGUCUGAGAAUGUAUUUAAUUGGGAAAAAAGGGUAAUUAAGUGGUCUAAGAAUGUGUUUAAUUGGGAGAAAAGGUAAUUAAGUGGUCUAAGAAUGUAUUUAAUUGGGAGAAAAUGUAAUUAAGUGGUCUAAGAAUGUAUUUAAUUGGGAGGAAAGGUGAUUAAGUGGCCUAAUAAUGUAUAUAAUUGGGAGAAAAGGUGAUUAAGUGGUCUAAGAAUGUAUUUAAUUGGGAGAAAAGGUAAUUAAGUGGUCUAAGAAUGUAUUUAAUUGGGAGGAAAGGUAAUUAAGUGGUCUAAGAAUGUAUUUAAUAGGGAGAAAAUGUAAUUAAGUGGUCUAAGAAUGUAUUUAAUUGGGAGAAAAGGUAAUUAAGUGGCCUAAGAAUGUAUUUAAUUUGGAGAAAAGGUAAUUAAGUGGUCUAAGAAUGUAUUUAAUUGGGAGGAAAGGUAAUUAGUGGCCUAAGAAUGUUUUUAAUUGGGAGAAAAGGUAAUUAAGUGGUCUGAGAAUGUAUUUAAUUCAGAGAAAGGGUAAGCAAGUGGUUUAAGAAUGUAUUUAAUUGGGCAAAGAGGUCAUUAAGUGGUCUUAGAAUUAUUUAAUUGAGAGAAAAGGUCAUUAGGUGAUCUUAGAAUGUUUUUAGUUGGGAGGAAAGGUAAUGAAGUGGUCUAAGAAUGUAUUCAAUUGGGAGAAAAGGUAAUUAAGUGGUCUAAGAAGCUAUUUAAUUAUCUUGUAUUAAAAGAUCAGUGAGUGGAACCCAUGCUUUGUAUGCCCAAAAGUACCAAAUCUGGUACGUUCGUACCCAAAACGGCAAUAUUGCUCUGAACUUUGAAGUGUAUGCAAGCAGUGCCCAAGUCAGGUGAGUUACUCUGUCACGCUAGUCAUAUGAGCUUCGUCACACACUACACACAAACAAACACACAUGAAAACGCACAUUCAUAACACAUUUCGUCUGUGGAAAUAUAUUUAAAAAAAGUGUACUGGUUUGGGGUCCAGUCUAGUGGGUUUGAGGUGAAAAAGCCACGGCCUUGAAAAAGCUCGCCAUCACUCCAUCUUUGCACUGUUUUCUACCUCUCUAAUCACUCGUUAAUGAGGUAUAUUCAGAGUUGCCAGCCAGCGGGUAUUGGGUCACGGCCUACGAAGCUUGAGCUAUUAAUUUAUUGUAAAUUACCAAAGUUGCUCUGGGGCUUGUAACAAUAAUGCUUCAAUAUAAGUGACACUAUUGUUAAUAAAAAUGUACCUGAUCGUUCGCGUGGUUUUAUUUAUUGGUAAAUGAGAGAAAAUAUAAAUGCUGUCCGGCAGCCUCUCCUCAUCCAAAAUCGUUCUUGUAUGAAAGCCCUGUGAAAUCAAGCAAAAAAUGGGCUUUAAAAAAAAUAUAUAUUUACAUUACAAUAUUUGCUGAGUAGUUUACCUGCCGUGGGUGUAUCAGUGUCGCCUUUGGCGAAAUUCAUCAAAAUCAUUAGGGUGCCAGAAUUUACUCCAAUACUCCAACACGACCUCUGCGUGUAACGUAGCCAUAUGUAGGUAUGUACUUACCUA